CGUCUCUGCGGCCCAGAUACCUUUGCAUGAACCCUAAUCCCUCUUCACUUCUUCCUCUUCGCUUCCUCUGAACCUCUCAGGUGGCGAUAUGUCGAUUGUGCUUCUGUAACGGUUGUGAUUACUGCGUAGUUACUCCCAGCGUCUUUGAUUGGUCGUCUGUGUGUAUAAAUAGCUCCAAGUUGUUCUUCUCUGACCUGAGAACCGGCAGGUGCUCCUCCGUUUCGGUAUCUCUCUCUGAUUUGCAGAUGUGCCGCUCCUCCUCCACUAUUCAAGUCCAGUUGCUCAGUUUCUGAAAGGCCAAGAAUGUCCGCCGUGGUGGAGAGCUUUCUGCUACUGGAUUCUCAGGACUGGUAAUUCGCGUGAUUUUGCUAUUGUUAGGUUUAAGUAUAAAAAAGCUCACAAAACAGUGGAAAGGCUUGAAGAAUGCAGCAGUCGAGUUUGUGUGGGUGGUGAACGCGAAAGAAAAGAUGUAGCAGAUCAUCUCAAGCUGGAGAUUAUUAGGGUUGGGAAGAAGAAGCUUCAUGAAGCAAAAAGUGUGGGUGAAACCAAGGUUGAACUUCAAGGAGUUGCAGGAGUUCAGGCAUGCUGGUGAUGAUGCCCUUACCCUUACUCCCUCCUAUCUUUACUGCAAAUAAGGUAUCAGUACAAACGAUGUAUAUAUGUAUGCAAGACAUGCAUUAAUCUUAAUAAUAACUUUGAUCCUGAAAAUUUAGAUUUUGUGGACAGAUGAGCAUGAAUCUAGAUGGAGGGAAGUUCUAUGAGGUGAUCAUUUCUCUUUUCAAAACUUUGUUCCUCACAUUGGUUUUGUUGGUUUUCUCAGGGCUGUGUUUGAUCCAAUGGAAGGAUUAGAAUUGGUUUACGCACAAGAUAUCUAUGGAAUGACUUGAGAAAACAAAAUCAUGGAGCAUCAAGGAUCAGAUUUGAUGUGGGGAGAAAAUGAGCUUAUGGCUCAAGAAAUCGUUCUUCUCACCAACUCAUUAACACAAAUCUUAGCAUCUGUUUCAUGACUGAUCUUGAAGUCAUUGCCUCAUUGGUGAGAUUCAACAUGUUUGAAAGAGGUCUACUUGGAUAGACCCAUUACCACUCGAAUGUUUGUUAUCAGCAACGUUGAACAGCAUCAACACAUCGACGGAACAAGAUGACGGAAUCUCUGUGCUUUUCUCAGAUUUUAAUACACUCUUUGGAGCUUGGUAGUCUCAUCGGCAGAGUCAUGAGAACAAAGAGAUGACAGAGACAAUAACAAAUCCAAGUCUUUGAAGAGAAACAGAGAUGGGACAUGAAGUCACUUCCGGGUUUUCACAGCUUAUGGAGGGUCAAACCAGAAAUUAGCAAGACGGGGACAAGUGGAAAACCCGAUGAAAUCAUAGCAGAACAUCUGUCUUUAAGAGCUGAAAUAAUGAAUCUUGAAAACAAUUCCAUUUCUCGCAUUUGUCAAAAGAACCACAAGUUAUUAAUCAAUAUCUGUUAACUUAUACAUUCUCUCACUAAAUAUUCACCUUUAUAUAAAUGACUUUUCAUAGGAGUA